GUCAAAAAUGUUUUUUUAAUUUCGGAGGGGGGCAGGAGGAAGGUACUACCUGUUGACAAAAAUUUCCGAGGGGGUGGUCAAUAAAUUUCUGAGGGGGUCAAUCGUAAUGGAACCACGUCAACAGGUAUUAUUCCGAGGGGCUUGAGAAAAAUCGUAAAUUUCCGAGGGGUUUCUAAAAAAAAGCGUAUCUCCGAGGGGGUCUCCUGAAAACUGUUUCCAAUGGGGUCUAAAAUCAGUAAC